CUGAGUCCUGAUGGCAUCAAGCUGAGACAAGAUCCCCCUCAUAGUAAUUUGGAGCCCAUCAAGAUCAGCAAAUAGGAAAUCUCUGAAGUCUCUGAUGUCUGUCCGAAGUAGCUCAAGAGAUAAGCGAAGCUGACUGUGGAGUCUCUCUAUCUCUCGAGCCAGGUCAUCCAUCUGCUGCGUAGAAGAAGUCGAUGUGCCCACUCCAAUAG
rnacentral:lncRNA from 1 species